rnacentral:rRNA from 1 species
UUCGCAAUGCCCGAAAGGGUGACGAAGCGACGCCGCGUGCGGGAAGAAGGCCUUCGGGUUGUAAACCGCUGUCGGGAGUUAAGAAAUGUAAGGAUGUUAAUAGCAUCUUUGCUUGACUAAGGCUCCGGAGGAAGCCACGGCUAACUCUGUGCCAGCAGCCGCGGUAAUACAGAGGCGGCAAGCGUUGUUCGGAAUUAUUGGGCGUAAAGAGCACGUAGGCGGCUAUGUAAGUCGGUUGUGAAAGCCUUCUGCUCAACGGGAGAAUAGCAUCCGAUACUGCAUGGCUUGAGUGCGGGAGGGGAGAGUGGAACUUCUGGUGGAGCGGUGAAAUGCGUAGAUAUCAGAAGGAACGCCGGCGGCGAAAGCGGCUCUCUGGCCCAUAACUGACGCUGAGUGUGCGAAAGCUAGGGGAGCAAACGGGAUUAGAUACCCCGGUAGUCCUAGCCGUAAACGAUGGGCACUAAGUAGAGGGGUUUU